UACAGAGGUCCCAAGCGUUGUUCGGAUUCACUGGGCGUAAAGGGUGCGUAGGCGGUCAGGUAAGUCUGGCGUGAAAUCUCCAAGCCUAACUUGGAAACUGCGUUGGAUACUAUCCGGCUCGAGGAAUGGAGGGGAGACUGGAAUACUUGGUGUAGCAGUGAAAUGCGUAGAUAUCAAGUGGAACACCAGUGGCGAAGGCGAGUCUCUGGACAUUUCCUGACGCUGAGGCACGAAAGCCAGGGGAGCAAACGGG
rnacentral:rRNA from 1 species